rfam:Kluyvera intestini strain GT-16 tig00000000, whole genome shotgun sequence.
CUCAGGGAGCGGACAAAACAAAAAGAGUGAACCGGCAGCCGCAGUCCGCGCGCGGCCGGUGAAC